GGGAAGGUGGUUCAGUGGUAGAGUGCUUGCCUUGCAUGCAUGAGGCCCUGGGUUCAAUUCCUCAGCACCCU
rnacentral:tRNA from 1 species